rnacentral:lncRNA from 1 species
GUAAAUGAAAUGGGACAUUGAGAAGUGGACAAGAAUCACAAAAGAAUUCAUCACUCCCACUGGGCCUUGUGAAAAUGGGAAAACAUCUGAAUAAUGGACUAUUGCUGGGGCUUUGGAACCACACUGACCUGUCUUCUUCCUCGGCCGUAUGCAUAUGAUGGACACCUGGACACGGGUUUACUCCUCAUUGUUUGGAUGGAUUAUUCAACUGCCCCACAGCUCUUUUGCCGUGGAACUGCUUCUCUGUAGACCUGUUGCCAAGAUUCCGCAAAUGAACCCAAGCACCAAGCAAUUGCUGUAGGCCUCUUCCUGAAAUCUUCUCGUUAGUAGUUCCUUGGACUUGUCUAGGAGAGAUGUACAACUAAAAAAGAAACCACAAACAGAAGAGCAGAGAAGUCGUCUUACGGGAAACCCUGAGAAUCUGCAGUUUUGAUUAUAUUCCUGUGAAAUGGCCUUUUUGCAGCGUUGUUAUAUUCUGCAGAGAACGCUACUAAGAUUUAUUCUCUACUUAAAUGGAGAAGGUUUGGCUAUUUUCCUGCAUGGCGUUUUAGAUGGUUGAAUCUUCUUGCUUCUGGAAGUCUUUACAGCUUCUGGAAGUCUUUACAUAACCCUACAAUGCUCUCAACCUCCUCUGAAGAGUCCCUAUCUUUAUGAAUUGCCAAAUAAACUAGUUUGUGCUGACUGAUUCCUUUUUUAGAAUUUGAAUUGCAUUCCUCCUUCUACCUGAAACCUCGGUGUACACACGUGCAUGCGUGCACUCACACACACUAAAGAGAAUAGAAAUUGCACAUUAAGAGGUAUCUUUGUGCUGGUCUGACAAUCACUUUGUUCCUUUUUGUUAUUAAAGAUAAAAAAGGUGGUGUCUAAAGAAAGCUGGGCUCCUCCUUGCUUGAUCCUCAGGACUUCCGCAAGGAUGAAUUAAGUUAUUCCACUUAUUCCAAGGAGAUGUGCUUACAUUUGAAACAUUGUAUCAGUUACUUUGCCACAAUAAAGGUUAGUAAUCACGUGGGUUGGCCAUCCACUUUGUGGCUCUUUCAGUCUUUCCCUCUCCCAUAAACUAGAUUAGUGGGUUAGUCAGCCAACAUCACUAGAAAUAUAAGGAGAUGGAAAUAAUUGUAGGUAUAUUUCUCUCAGCUAUUGUGGCUGGACUAUUUAGGUCAGCUGAGGGAAGACGCUAGAGGUAAAACAAACUAUUUUUAAAAAUACUGGUGUGGGGCCAGGUGCGGUGGCUCACGCUUGCAAUCCCAGCACUUUGGGAGGCCAAGGCAGGCGGAUCACAAGGUCAGGAGAUCGAGACCAUCCUGGCUAACAUGGUGAAACCCCGUCUCUACCAAAAUUACAGAAAAUCAGCCGGGCGUGGUGGUGGGUGCCUGUAGUCCCAGCUUCCUGGGGAGGCUGAGGCAGGAGAAUGGCGUGAACCCGGGAGGCG